GGGAGAUGAGAGCUGGGCUGCAGAGGGAGCAAGCGGAGGGGACCUGAGGACCGGGAGGGAGGGAGCCAGCGCGUCUCCCGGACACGGAAAGGGGGACCCGGGCUGUCUGGCGUUCGUGCAGCCUCGCCUGUCGGCACCUGUCCAGGUGUGUGCGAGCCUCCCGAGGUCAGUGUCACUUGGCGGAGCCAGCAGUUUUGCGGCCAACCGCUGGCGGCGAGGGCUGGGCAGAGCUGCGCCUCGCUAAACCUCCGAGGCCGCGCCCCCCGCGCUUCCUUCGCUCCGAGGUUCACCGAACUCCUGCAGGAGUUCGCCGGCUCUGCCUCACCCCGCCCUGCCUCGAAACGCAACGCCGCCGAUGGCUCUGAGAGCCCGGUGAUCUUAAGGGACACUCGAGCCGGACGCUUGCACGCCUUCCCUUCUCUUGUGCGUGGUCACCUAAAACUCAAAGCCAUGCACGUGGCAUGAGGGCACAUCACUUCUAAGCUCCUUGCAACACUUUCCACCUCGUCACCUUGUUACCUUUACAUCUCAAGACCUACCAAACUAGAAGCAUCCUAUGAAUGAAGCUGGCACCUAAUUCGUCCCUCAUAAGGCCAAGGAGUGUUCAUUUAGAGUUUCAAUGAAUACUUGAUGGAUACAUGACAUAACUAAUGUACAUGUUUAGUGUUUAAAUGUUCUAUAACCACUAACAUUAACACCUGUAUAUGUUGUGAACACUGGUUGAACCAAAAAGCACUCAGUCUCCUAUGCCGAGACUAUGAGAAACUUCAGCAAAAUUCCCAGUUACCAUGCCCUAAAAUAGCUAACAUAGAGAAGUAAUAAAUAGAGCAGGAUAUAAUAUUUGAAAUGUUUACUCUCAAAGGAAUGAAUAUAUUAAGAAUGCAUUUCCAGAAAGGAAUCCUCCUACUGGCGGUAUUUUCAGGGUAAGUUCUGUUCGAUGUCCCUUGGAUAGCCUCAGAUCAAUACUAGAAGUGAAAAGGUUCACCAGCUAUUAUGUCAACUGGCUCUUUCAGGAAUUGCUUUCUUCUCUUCCUUCCCUUGCAGUGAAUAUAAUUUUUACAAUGUGAUUGGUUUAUUAAGUAGCCUGCUUCAGAAGAUUCAAAUAAGGGGGCCUGCUGGGUAGCUCAGUUGCUUAAGCGCCUGCUCAUGCAAACGCAGUCAGGCGCAGGAUACCACAGUUCAGU